AAAUCCCUUGACAAACGAAAACAAAAUCAAUAGAAAAACCAAAACAAAAACAAAAUAAGCAUAGGAGGAUGAUAAGAAAUCAGGUAAACAAAUGCCAGAUUUAGCCAAACAACUAAGCAUACAAUGAUACCUACAUAAUUGGUCCAAGAGCAACUUGAAGCCAAAUGUGUAGUUUGGUGACCCAUGUGGCAUUAUGAAGAUCUAUUUUUCUGGUUUUGAUAUUUAGAUCUCCAAUCCACUUUCAAACACUAUUUACUUCAUAUUUUUGUUGUCAUGGUCUCUAAAGUGCAAUGGUAACAACAGGGUGGAUGGUGGACCCACCCACCAUAUGAAGCAAUUGAAGAGCCACUCUCACUUCUCAACUUUGAAGAGUAAGAUGAAGUCUUCAAAUCCUGGGGAAUAGUUUGAAGAGUAGGUUGGAGGUGCAAAAUCCUAGGUGGCUCUUCAAAGCACCUGGAAAAAUGGAUUUGAAAAAUGGGUGGGAGUUGCUCCAAUGAUGGGCAACUUCACUGCUUAAUGCUGUUGAAAACUUGAAGCAACUAAUAGUCAAAUUCUCAUACAAGAGACACAAACAAGUUGUGCCCAGAAAUUUCUAGAGCCCAUCACUUGUAAGAGAACUUGUCUUUCCAAUAUCCAAUAUUAAUACGACAAAGUAGGAGCUGUUUCAUGGCCCAAAAAAGAAUAUCAUAAUACCUUCCCGAUGGCAGCAGUGGUGUUUCCUGCUGCAUCAAGAGCAUCAGUUCUCUCAC